rnacentral:rRNA from 1 species
CCCCGCGAUGCGGCAUGCUAUACAUGCAGUCGAGCGCUGGAAGUGGUACAUCGCUCCUCUGGGGUGACCUUGUGGAGCGAGCGUGCGGACGGGUGAGUCACGCCUGUGACGACCUGCACUGCAUUAGCGAGAGAUAACGCUCGUACACCUGAGCUACUACCGGCAUCAUACUUUUUCCUGCAUGGAAGGAAGUGUGUCACAUGGCUUUGGCUCUCACUUAGCUGUAUAGGGCCCGUCGGGGGACGUUAAGGAGUCUGGUGGGGUAUGGGCUCUCCCCGGACCACGAUAGCGGUGACCGACCUGAUAGGGAGAUGCAGGCCCCGCUGGGACUGAUACACGGGACCAGACUCCUACGAGUCGGCAGCAGUGGGGAAUCUUCCGCCAUGAGACGAACCUCUGACAGGAGAACGCGCGCGCGAGAUGAUGAAAGUCUGCGGAUCGAAAAACUCUGUUGUGAGGGAGGAACGCUCAUUGUUCGAACAGGGCUACACCUUGACGGAACCUCACCAUAAAGCCCCGGCUCACUACGUGCCAGCAGCCGCCGGAAAUAUCGUAGGGGGCAUGGGUUGUCCAGAAUUCUUGGGCGUAAAGCGCGCGCAGGCGGUCUUUGAAGUCUGACGUCAAAUCUUGCCGCUGAACCGCGAGCGACCAUUGUGCACUGGAGGACAUGGGUGCUCCAUAGGAGAGUGGAAUUCCACGUGUAGCGGGGAGAUGUGUAGAGAUGUGGAGGGGCACCAGUGUGGAAGGAGCGUCUCUGGUCUGUAUCUGAGGCUGAGGGGCGAAAGCGUGGGUAGAGCACACGAUUAGAUAUCCUGGUAGUGCACGCCGUGAACGAGGAGUGUUAGGGGUUAGGGGGUUUCCGCGCUUUAGUGAUGAAGUUAACGCCAUUAGCCCUUCGCCUGGGGAGGUCGGCCGCAAGGGUGAAACUCAAAAGAAUUGGCGGGGGCCCGCCCCAGCGGUGGGGCAAGUGGUUUAAUUUGGAGCAACGGGGAGGACCUUUCCCGGUUUUGACCUCCUUCGAUGUCGGUAGAGAUACAGGGUUUCCUUUGGGGACAGAGUGUCCGGUGGGGCAAGGGUGUUGUCAGGUUGUGUUGUGAGAAGGUGGGGUAAGUUCCGCAACGAGGGCCACCCCUAAUUGUAGGUGCCAGCCAUAAGUUGGGCCCUUUAAGGGGGCUGCCGGGGGCAAACCGGAGGAAGGGGGGGAAGGCGUCAAAUCCUCCAGCCCCUUAAGGCCUGGGGUACCCCCGUGGUUCCAAGGAAGGAACAAAGGGCAGGGAAGCGACGGAGCAUUAGCUAAUCUCAUAAAACCAUUCUCAGUUCGGAUUGCAGGCUGCAACUCGCCUGCAUGAAGCCGGAAUCGCUAGUAAUCGCGGAUCAGCACGCCGCGGUGAAUACGUUCCCGGGCCUUGUACACACCGCCCGUCACACCACGAGAGUUGGCAGCACCCGAAGUGGGUGAGGUAACGCAAGGAGCCAGCUGCCGAAGUAUGAC